rfam:Triticum aestivum genome assembly, contig: Triticum_aestivum_CS42_TGACv1_scaffold_221997_3B
GUCAUACUCCCUCCGUUUCAAAAUACUUGACUUCUAUUUGUCCAAAAAUGAAUGUAUCUAUAUAGUAAAACAUGUCUAGAUACAUCUAUAUUUUGACAAAUGGAAGUCAUGUAUUGUGUAAUAGAGGGAGUAGCUA